AGUAGUGGCGAGCGAACGCGGAAGAGGCCAAACCUAAUGUAGUAAUAUGUUAGGGGUUCGGACAGUAUAAUGAAUUGUCGAGAUUUAGCCGAAUGUCAUGGGAAGGGCAAUCAAAGAAGGUGAAAAUCCUGUAGGCGAAAAGUUAAGACAUCAGACUGUAUCCAGAGUACCGCCGGACACGUGAAACCCAGUGGGAAUACGGGGGGACCAUCCUCCAAGCCUAAAUACUACUCGGUGACCGAUAGAGAAGAAGUACUGUGAAGGAAAGGUGAAAAGCACCCCGGAAGGGGAGUGAAAGAGAACCUGAAACCUUGUGUUUACAAGCACCGAAAGUUCAUCAACGAACGAUCGGGUACCUUUUGUAGAAUGGUCCGGCGAGUGAAUGUAACUGGCAAGGUUAAGCACUUAAGGUGUGAAGCCGUAGCGAGAGCGAGUCUAAAUAGGGCGCAUGAAGUCAGUUGUAUUCGACCCGAAACCGGGUGACCUACCCAUGUCCAGGCUGAAGUGCAGGUAAAACUUCAUGGAGGGCCGAACCGACUCCCGUUGAAAUGGUAGCGGAUGAGGUGUGGGUAGCGGAGAAAUUCCAAUCGAACCCGGAGAUAGCUGGUUCUCUCCGAAAUAGCUUUAGGGCUAGCCUUGGAAUAGAUUACUGGAGGUAAAGCACUGAAUUGGCUAGGGGCCGAGAGGUUACUGAACCUUAUCAAACUAAGAAUGCCAGAUAAUCGUUUUCCAGGAGUCAGACAGUGGGAGAUAAGUUUCAUUGUCAAAAGGGAAACAGCCCAGACCUACAGCUAAGGUCCCAAAUGUAUGCUAAGUGGAAAACGAUGUGGAGUUGCGAAAACAACCAGGAUGUUGGCUUAGAAGCAGCCACUCAUUAAAAGAGUGCGUAAUAGCUCACUGGUCGAGUGAUUCUGCGCCGAAAAUUUAACGGGGCUAAACUAUACACCGAAGCUUAGGAUACCGCAAGGUAUGGUAGGAGAGCGUUCUGUACGGAGUGAAGUCGUAGCGAAAGCGGCGGUGGACUGUACAGAAGUGAGAAUGCCGGAAUAAGUAGCGAGAAUUAAGUGAGAAUCUUAAUGGCCGAAAGUCUAAGGUUUUUGGAGGAAGGUUCGUCCGCUCCAAGUAAGUCGGGAGCUAAGGUCAGGCCGAAAGGCGUAGCCGAUGCACAAACGGUUGAUAUUCCGUUACCGUCUACAAUUUAAACAAAGGGACACAUACAAAGCGUUUAACCCGGGCGAUGGUUGACCCGGGCGCAAGGGACUGAAAUAAGAGUAGGGAAGUAAAUGUGGCGUAUGGCGAGAAAAGCUUUGUGAAUAGAAGUAGACGCCCGUACCGCAAACCGACACAGGUGGACAGGAAGAGAAUUCUAAGGCCAGCGGGAGAAGGGUAGUUAAGGAACUCGGCAAAUUGACUCCGUAACUUCGGAAUAAGGAGUGCUCGAAAGAGCCGCAGAGAAUAGGCCCAGGCGACUGUUUAGCAAAAACACAGGUCUCUGCCAAAUCGAAAGAUGAAGUAUAGGGGCUGACACCUGCCCGGUGCCGGAAGGUUAAGAGGAGGAGUGCAAGCUCCGAAUUGAAGCCCCGGUAAACGGCGGCCGUAACUAUAACGGUCCUAAGGUAGCGAAAUUCCUUGUCGGGUAAGUUCCGACCCGCACGAAUGGUGUAACGAUCUGGGCACUGUCUCAACUACCCACCCGGCGAAAUUGUAGUACCGGUGAAGAUGCCGGUUACCUGCGGCAAGACGGAAAGACCCCAUGGAGCUUUACUGUAGCCUGAUAUUGGGUUUCGGAAAUCUAUGUACAGGAUAGGCGGGAGACUGGGAAGUAUGAGCGUCAGCUUAUACGGAGUCAUUGUUGGGAUACCGCCCUUAGGUUUCUGGAAUUCUAACCUGCGACCGUGAAUCCGGUCGGGGGACAUUGUCAGGUGGGCAGUUUGACUGGGGCGGUCGCCUCCGAAAAGGUAACGGAGGCGCUCAAAGGUUGGCUCAGCACGGACGGAAACCGUGCCUCUGAGUGUAAACGCAAAAGCCAGCCUAACUGCGAGGAUGACGGUCCGAGCAGUAACGAAAGUUGGAGUUAGUGAUCCGGCGGUAUGUGAAUGGAAAUGCCGUCGCUCAACGGAUAAAAGCUACCCUGGGGAUAACAGGCUGAUCUCCCCCAAGAGUCCACAUCGACGGGGA
rnacentral:rRNA from 1 species